rnacentral:lncRNA from 1 species
GGGGACGGCGUGGUGGACAUCAUUGAGCUCCAGGAGGGGCUGAGAAACUGGAGCUCCGCGUUUGACCCCAACUCCGAGGAGCAUGGAUAGUGAUGGAUCAAUGACAGUAGACUGGGAUGAAUGGAAGUACUACUUUUUACUGCAUCCUGCAACAAAUAUCACUGAAAUGAUUCAUUUCUGGAAGCAUUCUACUGCCCAGUUACUGAGGAAGCUGUUUUAUAUUUCCACCUGCAACACAGAAUUUUCAGCUCCUGCUCUUACCUAAGGACUGACUGAACUGAGUCACCUAUCUGAAAAGAAUAUAGAUCACAGAUGGAAUCAAACAUGCGGAAGGAUGAUGGGUUAUGUGUCUUACCAUCUAAUGCCAUUCAAAGUAUGUUCCCUACACUUAGCCCACUGAAUUAAAGGUUUAUCUCCAUGGGAUGCAUUAACCAGAAUCUCAACCUAUAUUUAUGUAAGAAAUAUUAGGCAUGGGGGGAAUAGUAUUUACUCCCCUUGGUGCUCCCACAGUACUAUGUGUAUCAUCUGUCUGGGUAGAUAGCACUUAUAUCACAUUUUAUUAUUACCUAUCUAACUAACUAUUGUCCAAGAGAGCUUGUAAAUUCUCUAAGGACAAAAACUAUGUCUAACAUUUUCCUAUAGUCCCUAAUGCCUAUUAAAGCAGCUAGUACAUAAUUGGCCCUAAAUAAAUAUAUGUGGAAUUAAUGAAGUCUUUUCCCUUGCAAAACCUAUCCUUCUAACAACCUAUAUUUUCCAUAAAUGAUAUAUUUAUAUAAGUUUAAUUCCUAAUUAAGAUAAAUCAUUUUUUAGAAUGAGACAGAAGUAUAAACUAAAUAGUUCUUAAACAUGUGACACUAAAGUUAUUACACAAUUAAUUCACAUUGUAUAAUAACUGUUCAUAAUGCAUUACUAAAAUGUCACCAACAUUACCGAAAAGCAAAAGAUAGUAAAACACCCACAUAUGUGAAUUUAAUUUGAAAUUUAAGUUAAUUAGGUUGUGGAUGAUUAAUUUUUAUAUCCUUGCAGAGAAAGUAUUCAGCAAAUAUCAAACUUUAAUUGUGGAUUCUACUUAUGAUAAUUAACACAUUAAGCCAUGCACUAUUUUAUAACUACUGUUG